GCCUACACAUGCAAGUCGAGCGGUAGAGAGGUGCUUGCACCUCUUGAGAGCGGCGGACGGGUGAGUAAUGCCUAGGAAUCUGCCUGGUAGUGGGGGAUAACGCUCGGAAACGGACGCUAAUACCGCAUACGUCCUACGGGAGAAAGCAGGGGACCUUCGGGCCUUGCGCUAUCAGAUGAGCCUAGGUCGGAUUAGCUAGUUGGUGAGGUAAUGGCUCACCAAGGCGACGAUCCGUAACUGGUCUGAGAGGAUGAUCAGUCACACUGGAACUGAGACACGGUCCAGACUCCUACGGGAGGCAGCAGUGGGGAAUAUUGGACAAUGGGCGAAAGCCUGAUCCAGCCAUGCCGCGUGUGUGAAGAAGGUCUUCGGAUUGUAAAGCACUUUAAGUUGGGAGGAAGGGCAUUAACCUAAUACGUUAGUGUUUUGACGUUACCGACAGAAUAAGCACCGGCUAACUCUGUGCCAGCAGCCGCGGUAAUACAGAGGGUGCAAGCGUUAAUCGGAAUUACUGGGCGUAAAGCGCGCGUAGGUGGUUCGUUAAGUUGGAUGUGAAAUCCCCGGGCUCAACCUGGGAACUGCAUUCAAAACUGUCGAGCUAGAGUAUGG
rnacentral:rRNA from 1 species